UGGCCCGACCAGUACCGUUUUACCGUAAUCAAAACCAGUAUUGUAAUAACCUUUUCCCAUAGUGACAUGUGAUUAACUAAAA